UGGGUCCGAGUUUGUAAUUUGUAGAGGAUGCUUCGGGCAAGGCUGCGGUCUAAUUCGCUUGGAACAGCGAGUCAUAGAGGGUGAGAGUCCCGUCUGGGAUCGCGCGCCGCGCCCGGGUGAAGCUCCUUCGACGAGUCGAGUUGUUUGGGAAUGCAGCUCUAAAUGGGUGGUAAAUUUCAUCUAAAGCUAAAUACCGGCCAGAGACCGAUAGCGCACAAGUAGAGUGAUCGAAAGAUGAAAAGCACUUUGAAAAGAGAGUUAAACAGUAUGUGAAAUUGUUGAAAGGGAAGCGCUUGCCACCAGACUUGCGGGUGGUGGUUCCCCCGGUCCCCUGACCGGGCUACUCCGCCACCCUCGGGCCAGCAUCGGUCUGGGCGGUCGGUGAAAGACCCCGGGAAUGUAUCUACCCUCGGGUCGACUUAUAGCCCGGGGUGUAAUGCGGCCCGCCCGGACCGAGGAACGCGCUUCGGCUCGGAUGUUGGCGUAAUGGUGGCAAGCGGCCCGUCUUGAAACACGGACCAAGGAGUCUAACAUCUAUGCGAGUGUUUGGGUGUCAAACCCCGGCGCGGAAUGAAAGUGAACGGAGGUGAGAACCCCUCUCGGGGCGCAUUAUCGACCGAUCCUGAAGUCUUCGGAUGGAUUUGAGUAANAGCAUAGCUGUUGGGACCCGAAANAUGGUGAACUAUGCCUGAA
rnacentral:rRNA from 1 species